rnacentral:rRNA from 1 species
GAAAGUAAGCAAGGGCAGACGGUGGAUGCCUUGGCUCUCGGAGGCGAUGAAGGACGUGAUAAGCUGCGAUAAGCUUGGGGUAGGUGCAAAUAACCUUUGAUCCCAAGAUUUCCGAAUGGGGCAACCCGGCUGGUGGAAGGCCAGUCAUUCCGUAAGGAAGGCGAACGUGGGGAACUGAAACAUCUAAGUACCCAUAGGAGAAGAAAACAAAAGUGAUUCCGCAAGUAGUGGCGAGCGAACGCGGAACAGCCCAAACCGAUGAUGUUUAGGCAUUGUCGGGGUAGUAGGACCACGUUGUGGCAAGAGAUUAAUGAAGUAGAACGUUUUGGAACAAACGGCCGUAGACGGUGAAAGCCCGGUAUACGACUCUUUAACGAAGCCUAGUGGAAUCCUGAGUAGCGCGGAGCACGAGAAAUUCUGUGUGAAUCAGCGGGGCCCAUCCCGUAAGGCUAAAUACUCCCGAGAGACCGAUAGCGAACCAGUACUGUGAAGGAAAGGUGAAAAGCACCUCGAACAGAGGAGUGAAAUAGUCCCUGAAACCGUCUGCCUACAAGCGGUCGGAGCACAUUAAAGUGUGACGGCGUGCCUUUUGCAUAAUGAACCUACGAGUUACUUUCUCCGGCAAGGUUAAGGGCUUCAGGCCCGGAGCCGAAGCGAAAGCGAGUCUUAAUAGGGCGUGAUAGUCGGAGUGAGUAGACGCGAAACCAAGUGAUCUACCCUUGGUCAGGAUGAAGGUUGGGUAACACCAACUGGAGGUCCGAAUGGGUAUACGUUGAAAAGUGUUCCAAUGAACUGAGGGUAGGGGUGAAAGGCUAAUCAAACUUGGAGAUAGCUCGUACUCCCCGAAAUGCAUUUAGGUGCAGCCUUUAUUUAGUAUAGCAUGAGGUAGAGCGACUGAUUGGAUGCGAGGGCUUCACCGCCUAUCAAGUCCAGAUAAACUCCGAAUGCGUGCUAUAUAUUGAUAAGGAGUGAGGGCGCGGGUGCUAAGGUCCGCGUCCGAGAGGAGAAGAAUCCAGACCAUCAGCUAAGGUCCCCAAAUAACAGUUAAGUUGAACUAACGAAGUCGGACUGCAGAGACAGCUAGGAUGUUGGCUUGGAAGCAGCCAUUCAUUUAAAGAGUGCGUAACAGCUCACUAGUCGAGGAGUCCGGCGUGGAUAAUACUCGGGCAUAAACUGUUUACCGAAGCUAUGGAUGUAGAAAUACAUGGUAGGGGAGCAUUCCAACGGCGUCGAAGGUGAAGGAUGACCUUUGCUGGAGCUUUUGGAAACGCAAAUGUAGGUAUAAGUAACGAUAAAGGAGGUGAGAAACCUCCUCGCCGAAAGACUAAGGUUUCCUGAUCAACGUUAAUCGGAUCAGGGUAAGUCGGGACCUAAGGUUAAGCCGAACGGCGAUACCGAUGGAAGAAUGGUUUAAUAUUCCCAUACUACUUUAUGGAGCGAUGUGGAGACGGAGAAGUGAAAGUCCUGCCAUCUGACGGAAUAGGUGGUUGAAGAGUGUAGAUGUAGAUUCCUGUAGGCAAAUCCGCAGGGAGAGUCGACCUUGACAGUAUGCCGCGUGCUUGCACAAGGCAAAAUGGACGUAAUCAGGCUCCCAAGAAAAUCCGCUAAGCAUAUUCAUAAAGUACCCGUACCGUAAACGGACACACGUAGUUGGGUUGAAAAUACUGAGGCGCUCGAGUGAUUCACGGUUAAGGAACUAGGCAAAUUGACCCUGUAACUUCGGGAUAAAGGGUCCCUACUGAGAGGUAGGGCGCAGAGAAUAGGUCCAGGCAACUGUUUAACAAAAACACAUGGCUGUGCGAAAUAGAAAUAUGAAGUAUACAGCCUGACACCUGCCCGGUGCUGGAAGGUUAAGAGGAGAGCUCAUCGCAAGAGAAGGCUUGAAUUGAAGCCCCAGUAAACGGCGGCCGUAACUAUAACGGUCCUAAGGUAGCGAAAUUCCUUGUCGGGUAAGUUC